rnacentral:rRNA from 1 species
UACGUAGGGUGCGAGCGUUGUCCGGAAUUACUGGGCGUAAAGAGCUCGUAGGCGGUUUGUCGCGUCGGGAGUGAAAUCCACUGGCUUAACUGGUGGCUUGCUUUCGAUACGGGCAGACUGGAGGUAUGCAGGGGAGAACGGAAUUCCUGGUGUAGCGGUGAAAUGCGUAGAUAUCAGGAGGAACACCGGUGGCGAAGGCGGCUUUCUGGACAGUAACUGACGCUGAGGCGCGAAAGCUAGGGGAGCAAACGGG